CCUCCUUCUUCUGUCUUAGCUCAUUCCCUUCCAGGUAGCGCCCCUCCGAGACCCUGGAAUAACUUGAUUGCGGGUGGGUUACUAACCCCUAGACUGAGUAGCCCACCCAACGCAAUCCACAGUGGCGCCCGAACCAGUGACUCGGAGUACGGUCAGCUAUCGGACGACACGCGCAGUCCCGGGACAACAACAAGAAGAAAAAUGAAGGUUCUGCGGCUGUAGUACUCGGACAGAUGGCAGAACGGGAGGUAGGCGCAGGUUCACGUCGUCCCACAAGGGGUGAGACAAUCACUUUCAAAGGAAGAAAAAUUCAUACAGGAAUUUAAACAUUCACUCAGGGACAGAGGAGUAAGAGUCAAAAACAGAGAUCUAUGUGUUUGCUUUAUGUAUAUGUCUUUAACUCCCUGCCACAUGGAGCAAAAGCUGACAGGCAGGUUUGCUAUAAAGGAGUCUAGACUCAAAAAGCUGCAGCUGCAUGUAAAUAUGCUUCUUUUCCAUUUCAAAAAUCUUGCUUCUUGGUCAAAAAUCUUUAGUUUGUAGGUGUAAAAGUUUAUAUCUAAGGUAGAUUAAGUUCAGUACUGUGUUUCUGUAGAAAAAGUUUUAAGGUCAAAGAUUGUGAUGCAUUCAGAGGAUUUUUAGAAUUGUUUAGGCUAUCUGAGUUUUUAUUUCUUUAUUAUAAGGUUGGGGAUUGUUCUUUUGAGUUCUGUAUUGUUCUUUUGAGUUCUGUGAAAAGUUUUGCUAUAAUUUUAAUGAACAUUUACAUAAAAUCUGUAUGUGAGUUCUGUGAGAAAUGUUGCUAUAAUUUUUAAUGGACAUUUACACUGAAUCCGUAAACUGCUUUCAGUGAAAUUGUCAUUUUUGCUGUGUUUCUUCUGCUUUCGCAAGAAAGUAGGGGAUCUUUCAAGAUUUAAAAUUCUUAUCCGACAAGUUUUUCAUUUGUACGGCCCGCUCUUGGGUGGGAGUCGUAAUGUUUCAGCUUGAGGUUCUUUCCUGCUGCCAGGUGUUGCUUCAGGCCUCUCACUAAAUUUAUCAAGGGCCAGAGUUAUACUCUUAGCAAGUGAUAAUGGUUAAAAGUAAAAAACAUUUCGGCCUUCACAGGCAGAGAUGACGGGACAAAAAACUUCUGUCCUGCUUGCUUGGAGUUGCUCCGGGAUGUUUUGUGGUAUUCAUGGAUAUUUUAAAAGGAUGAUGUCUCAUUUAUCCUAGGUGUAAAAGAGAUACCUUUGGGUUAUUUUUAGAUUCUGGCUAUGAUAAAGUUCUGCUCUGGGCAUGGCAGAGCACGUGUCCUUGUGGUAUGGUUAAACAACUUUGUAUUUAGGCCCAAAAGGGGUACUGCUAAGUUUUGAGGUAGAUAUCUGCCUAAUUUUACAUAAUGGAGGUCCCUCACUGCUGGGGAGACUCUCACUCAGGUCUUGGAAGGGCGCGGCCCCCCCAUGGCUCACCAAAGACCGUCCUUGCUGAGGUCGCUUACACGUGGCCUUGGUUGGUGGGGGAGGAGUUCGACCCCCAGUGACCGGAAAAAAGAAUUUUUGAGAAGACCACAGCCCGGUGGUCCAGAAAGGUCAUAAAAAUUUCAAAAACCUACGGAGGCUCCCUGCCUCUCGGGACCACUCCCAGGGUCAUAAUCAGCUAGUUCCUAAAACAGUACUGUGAUAAUUGCAGCUGGAAAACUAGUUUUUCAGGAUUGCAGUUUCUCGGGGAUUGCUAUCAGGAUUGCAGUCUUCAGUCAGUUCCUGGUGCAGGGUUGCUGAACAGGCUAGCCCUGGAUUUUUGAUUCUCCUCUUCCUGCUGGGGGGGCUGGAGAGAUGGCUCAGUGGUUAAGAGCAUUGCCUGCUCUUCCAAAGGUCCUGAGUUCAAUUCCCGGCAACGUGGUGGCUCACAACCAUCUGGAAUGAGGUCUGGUGCCCUCACAGGCUAGUCCUGGAUUUUUGAUUUUUCUCUUCCUGCUGGGAGAGUCUGGAUUUCUCCAGGUUUUUCAGUGCUGUAUGUGAUUCAGGGAUGGCUGUGCAGUAUGUACUUCCAACACUGCUCCCAGCGCCGCAGCUGCCGCCACGGGCUGCAGCUCACUUCCAGCGAGUUUUUUUCCUACCCACGUUUUCUUAAGCAUAGAUUGUUAACAAUAAUUUUUAAUCUUGGUCAUUUUUACAAGGAUAAGGUAAAUCUCAGAGUUUUGAUUUGCCUUUCUCUGACGGCUAAAGGAUGUUAUAUUCAAACAUUUUUUAGGUGUCUCUCAGUCAUUUUUGAGUUCGUUUGUUGAGAGUUUAUCAGUUUAGGUCUAUAACAAAUAUUUUUAUUGGAUUAAAUUUUUAAUAACUAAUUUCCUGAGUUCUUCAUAUAUUUUUGGAAUGAGUUUAUGAUAAGUAAAGAUCUUUCUGCACUCUAUAGCCUUGUUAUACAAAAGGUUCUCAACUCAGGAGAUAUAAUUUAUGGUUUCUCACAAUGUUUGUGCCACUGAGGCUAUGUUUACAAUGUGGCAAGGUGUACUUCAAAAAUUUUUCUCUGUGAGGUUCAACAUAAAUUUUUAUAUGCUAAAGCCUUUGGCUCAUUUGGGCUUAAAUUUUGUUCAUGAAGAUGGAUAUAGAUCUAUUUUCAUUCUUCUACAUGUUGGUGUCUAAUGAGACCAGCAUUACUAGUUAAAAAAAACUUCAUUUUUCCAUUUUCCUAUUUGCAAGGCAGACUUGCAGCUUAAGAGGAGGAUAGCUUACAAACUUUUGGAUGUCCAAUGGUUAAAGCCCUACUUAUAAUGUUCUUAUGAGAGAUAUUGAGCUGCUAGGUAAAAUUCUUACAAAAAACAGUUUCCAAUAGAGAGCUUAAAACAAGUUGCCUAGCAGGUACUCAAACAGGUAAAGUAUACAAUAAUCAACAAAUACAGUAUAUUAAUUAUAAUUCAGCUAUGGCAAAUAUGUAUAUUAAAUGUAAAACUUAUUCUACAACAGUUUUAUAAAAAAUGCUGUUUAUGGCUAAACCUUCUCAGUUUUGCUAGUUAAAAUAUUAAACUCUUAAUUUAAAACAGUAGCCUGUCUGGUACAAAAGGACAGGAUAACAUCUGGAAAAUGGUUUAAUAGAAUAUUGACUAUGAUCAAAGUUUCUUAUACUAAAUAAUAGAUUCAUUGAUAAUUUUAAGAUUGAUUCCUGGACAAUUGCCUUUGCUCAAUUCAAGGCCAAAAACGAUUAUCUUUUCCCAGAUCAUUGCCUGUAUUUUGCUAAUGUUAUGGCAAAAAAUCCCUUAAAGGAUUUUAUGCUAAAAUUUUACAAAUGGCUCUUCCAAUGGAGGAACUGCAUAUAUGGUUAAUAAAAAAAAUUGUGGAGUAUAACAAGGCUCCUUCAAAGCAGCUUAUGAGAGUUGCAAGCAGAUCCUGAUGCAAACGGAUCUGGCAUGAUAACACCAAGCAGACCUUUGCUAAGGCAAGGUGGAAAAGCCCUUGCAAUGCAUUAUGAAAAAACCCGACCUAUAUAUAUUUGGGGUCGAGGAUGUGUUUAUGUUUUUUCACAGAAAGAAAAAAUCUGGACUUGAGUCGUGGCUGCAGACAUCCCACAGAGGAGUUCCAGAGAUGAUUGCAGAAAGGUCCUUGGUCCGGCCUUCCCUGCCCCCAAGGAGAAGAGUGCCUGAUAACAGAACCUGCUACGCCACUCUGCAGGGUGUCAUCCUGUCUCCAGAGUCCAGCCUGAGAUAAGUGCGAGGAUGUGCUUCAGAUAGCUGAAUCCAGCUCACCUCACCCAGGAAUUCCACCUGCCCUGAAGUACAAAUGCUAAACUGCUUCUACAGUUUGAACUCUGGUUUGCUUUGAAGCUAAGAUACAGACCAAACAUCAGACUGUUUUAAUCUUUGGGACACAAAACUCAUUUUAAUUAAAAUAUUAAUGCCUCUUCACUUAAGAAGGGGGAAGAUUGGGGUUCCUGUCACUGUUGCUCAGAGACUGGAACUGGUGGUAUUUGUUAACAACAAUGUAUGUCAUUGUACUCUUACUGAAAUUGAUCUAAUGAUAUUUGUAACUGCUUAUAGAGGCUGGAAAAGGUUUGACACAUGCUGUGAAAUGUUUGGGUUUAGUGCAUAUGUUAAAAAUUUUAGAUAUAGAUCCCUUUACACUGCACUAAUUUUUGGCAAACAGCACUCAUAAUUUUAAUGUGGAGUAGGCAUUUAGGAAGGAGGAUACCUUAGGCCAGACUAAAAGGUGAAUACUGGGUUUGGAAAAAGCCCUUUCUUCUUGUCUGGAAGAUGGAGUUAUUGGUGCCCAAAAUUAUAUCAUUAUAUCUUUUGUUUGAGGAGCUCCUCACAGUUUUUCAUUAAUGAUAGACUCAGGCGCCCAAUGACGGGAGUUAGUGUGGAUCCUCACCUGAAUAGCACACCAUACAGAGGCUGUAAAGGCCGGCUCAACAUGGCAUGGUGCCAGGUACGAGGAAAGCUCUCCACACAGCCUAAGACAGGAUGCCCUGUGGUCUGCUUACUUUAACUCUUGCUAGAUACCUUUUAUUUGAGAAGCUCCAAGGAACUAAUGCUAAUCAUAAGGCACCCCUCUGUUCCCAUGAGAGGUAAAUUGCUUCACCAUUCGAGAGGAGGGUUUCUACUUGUCCCAGUCCCUUCUCUUUUAAAUCUGACACCAGGGUUGACUCUGACUUAGUGCCCUCCACUUAAUAACUGUUUGCCUUUAUAUAAGAGAGGGGGAAUAUGUCAGGAGCCAUUUCCCCCCUAACAAUCAUUACAGAAACCAUCACUCUAGGGAGUCUGCAGAGAACCUCACACCCAUAGUUAUGUUCUAUUGACAAAACCUGCCCCUCACCCAAUUAACUGCUAAUCUUAGCGGAACCCGCCUCACAUUCCAGCUAUCCAGGGAACCAGGUGUGGCCACUUGUGACUUCUGGCCUGUCUGUCUGAAUGUAACCGAGCUACGUGACCGGAACCACGCGGCCUGCGAGAUCCCGUACCCUGCCCCUCAUCCCUUACCAUAUAUAAACUGUAACCCGUCCCUAAUAAACUGAGGCCUUGACAAAGUU